AAGGAAGAUAAAGAACCAGCAAACAGAACAAAAAUAAAAGCAAAAAAGAACUUUCAAAAAACUAAUUAUAGAUUCAGCGAGAAUUAGAAUGGUUCAUGGAAAGAAAAUGGGACUUUCAAGCAUGCAAUCAAUACCUGCACAAGCAUAUGUGACCAGUAUGAAGCCCUGGAAUAAAAGUCAUUUUGGACUGGAAGUCUGAUCCUAAACUUAUUAAGACCUCAGAGAGUAUAAGGU